UACGAAGGGGGCUAGCGUUGUUCGGAAUUACUGGGCGUAAAGCGCACGUAGGCGGAUAUUUAAGUCAGGGGUGAAAUCCCAGAGCUCAACUCUGGAACUGCCUUUGAUGCUGGGUAUCUAGAGUAUGGAAGAGGUGAGUGGAAUUCCGAGUGUAGAGGUGAAAUUCGUAGAUAUUCGGAGGAACACCAGUGGCGAAGGCGGCUCACUGGUCCAUUACUGACGCUGAGGUGCGAAAGCGUGGGGAGCAAACAGG
rnacentral:rRNA from 1 species